CUUCUCACAGCCAAUCACAGUGUUUGGCUGUAGCCCUCCGUCUGUAACCCAGAUUGUGUUAUCUUUAGCUAGUUUUGAAGAGGUUUCGAUUUGUUUGGCUUUUGAAUUCAGAUCGAGUAUCUUCUGGGUCGACGGAUGAUGAUGACAUAAUUGAACGCCCUCUCCUGGAAGGACUGACCGCGGGAGCCGUAGAUGGACUAAAGACCAGGGUUCUACCAUACUGAAGUUGUAAGGU